rnacentral:lncRNA from 1 species
GUAUACGGAUCACUUUCUUUGGAUAAAUGGAUCUCGAGUCUGCAGUGUAGAGACACUGGAGCGAGAGUGCAGGUGGUUGUUAAAGAAUAACUAGCACUUAGCGUGACCAACACGAUAAGUCACAUGGAUGUCUGCUUACUCGUUAGUGACUUUCUCGAUGCUGCAAUUGUAUGAUUGAUCUUUUGACCUGAGAUGACACUACUGCUCACAGUGAGGCUGCU